UACACUCCCACGGGAGGCAGCAGUGGGGAAUUUUGGACAAUGGGGGCAACCCUGAUCCAGCAAUGCCGCGUGAGUGAAGAAGGCCUUCGGGUUGUAAAGCUCUUUUGUCAGGGAAGAAACGGUGGUGGCGAAUAACUACUACUAAUGACGGUACCUGAAGAAUAAGCACCGGCUAACUACGUGCCAGCAGCCGCGGUAAUACGUAGGGUGCAAGCGUUAAUCGGAAUUACUGGGCGUAAAGCGUGCGCAGGCGGUUGUGUAAGUCAGAUGUGAAAUCCCCGGGCUCAACCUGGGAAUUGCAUUUGAGACUGCACGGCUAGAGUGUGUCAGAGGGGGGUAGAAUUCCACGUGGAGCAGUGAAAUGCGUAGAUAUGUGGAGGAAUACCGAUGGCGAAGGCAGCCCCCUGGGAUAACACUGACGCUCAUGCACGAAAGCGUGGGGAGCAAACAGGAUUAGAAACCCCUGUAGUCCC
rnacentral:rRNA from 1 species